AAGUCGUAACAAGGUUUCCGUAGGUGAACCUGCGGAAGGAUCAUUAACACGUAUCCAACGUUAAACCCCCCUGUGAAUUUUAUCGCUGCUCUUGCAGACGCCGGCAAGUUUGCAAUCCCUGGUAAAUCAUUGUUGAACAGAUUUUGAUUCAGGGACCUCUAACCCCGGUAGAUCUAUAGCUGCAAUUUGAGCGCUUGUGCAAGUGGCCUGGUUUCCCCAUAUAUUUACCCCACUACCUUAACUCGGGUCGCAGGAAACUGCUUCCCAUCAACCGAACAACUGUUAACAAUGGAUAUCUUGGUUCUC
rnacentral:misc_RNA from 1 species